UACGUCAAACGUCCUUUCAGAUGUUCUAUCCAACGAUCUUGCACCAAAUAACCAUUAUUGUCUAAAUCGAACAGUUUAGCAGUUAACUGCAAAGAAAAAUAAAAGCCGAAAACACAAACUUUAAACAUUUAUUGGGAAAGGUAACUGAAAGCGAAAUUAAAAAAUAAUUUUUUGAAACACUUUAAUAAAGAAGCAGUUUGUUUAGUGUAGCAAUGUGACAUUUCAGACACAUCUUCAAAGAGAGAGCAAAAGAGAGUUAGAAGUUUAGAGUUGAGAUUGAGUUGAAAAUUUUCUCUUAAUCUAAUUUAAAUUCUCAAAGAGUUAAAGUUUGGAAAACUCUUAUACGUCGCUUAGCUUAGCACAAUACAAUCCACAAUAAAAAUAAGUCUUUGCAAGCAAAGCGAAUGAAUGAGUGGAAAAAGAAAAUUGCAACAAAUUGAACACACAUUUGCACUCCAGUUGAGGGAGCUGACGAAUGUUACUGGGCAAGAUCUACGCACCGCAGUUAGCCAACGUAGCCGACUACUAAGAUAAUAGUGUUUGUUUAAAAA